rnacentral:ribozyme from 1 species
CGGUACCUUACUCCUAUCCCUACCUCCCCAUGGUGCCGCCUGGGCUACGAGUAACCGUAGGGAAGAUCGGAUAACCAACCCUGAUGGGACCUUUGUCGUAUGCUAACAGGGAAGG